rnacentral:lncRNA from 1 species
AAAGAGGUCCUUUAUAUGCCUUCAUAAAUAGGUCCUUUACGUGCCCGUAAAAUUACAUGAAUAUUGAAUAAUCACAUAACCCCCAAAGUCAACUAUAAAAAGGUGUAUUUACAUAUCUCCAAAAUUCAAAAAAUUAAUCAAGUCCUUUACAUGUCUCAUAAAUAGGUCUUUUACAUGCCCACAAAUCCCAUGAAAGUUUUCUCCUUUUAGUCCUUGGUUUUCCUCUAGGAAACUGCUCUUAUUGGUUUGUCAUAUCUGUAACAUAUGAACAACAUCAAUACACCAACACAAGAGGUCCUCAAAACCAAGUCAUUUAUUUACCAAAGAGGUCCUCAAAAUACUCACUGACCUCUCAGAUAACACUUGCAACAAGUGCCAAGUGUUGGCAUCACUAACACUUGUGAUAACAUUUGUAUUAAUGCACAACUUAAGCUUUUGUGUAAAGCAUCACUAUAAAUCACAAAUCCUCCAUUUCUCGUAGGAAUAGUUAAAAUAGGUGUUGAAGUCAAUCGAGCUUUUAAUUGUUGAAAACUUUCCUCAUAUUCCUUUGUUCAUUCAAAUUUGACAUUUUUCUGUAUCAAUUGAGUUAAUGGAGCCACAAUUCAAAAGAAUCCUUCUACAAAUCUUUUGUAAUAUUAUGUCAGUCUAAAAAAGCUUCGGAUUUCAGUAACAUUACUUGGUUGCUUCCAAUUAAUCACAGUUUCAACCUUUGAAAGAUCAACAGAUAAACCUUCUUUUGAUAUCACAUGAUCUAAAAAUGUCACUUGUUCUAACUAAAAUCCACAUUUACUUAGUUUGGGAUACAACUCAUUUUCUCUUAGUAUUUGUAAUACCAUCUUCACAUGUUUCUCAUGCUCUUCCCGAUUAUUGGAAUAAAUUAGAAUAUCAUCAAUGAAUACUAUUUGGAUUUAUAAAAAUAGAUAUAUUGAUUUUAGAUUGACUUAAAUAUUCAAAUUUGACUUUAUAGAUUUUUAAAAAUCAAAUAUUAAUUUUAAUAAUUUUAAUAUUGCAUGGGAGACCCUAUAUGUUAAUGGGUCCACCAUUGCAUGUGGGGGGCCUAUGAAGUACCACUUAGGGUGGCACACCCCACCCUAAUGAUACUUGCCAUGUGUUAGUUCAAGCUUUGCCCCUCCUUGAUUUCAUUGCUUCGAAUAAGCAGAUUGACAAUUCUCAAGCAUCUCCAAUCUUUGAUUGGAAUUGCAAUUAGAUUGGUGUUUCUAACUAGAUGGGAGGUCUUUAAAUGUGGAUUUUAUUUGUCACUUGGUGUGAUGGUAAAAAGUUCAGGUACCCAACGCAAGAGCGCGGGUUCGAGUCCUGAGAGCGGUCACUUUGUGCAUAAGCCAAAGGUUAGGACCGAUUCUAGCCCACCCCUCCUGAGACCUUGGUUACGACCAUUUGAUCUCUUCACCCCACAUGUCUCCAAUAUCUAUGAUUUAAGAUUAAGUCUUCACAGUGAUUGCAAAUCUGUCACCGUAAAAUUCUAGACCCGAUGACCCUAGGUUUGCACUAUAAAUAGUGAGGGUGCAAAACAUCCAAAUUAUAGACUUGCCCUUAAGCUAUGUCACAAACGCACAACAAUACAACUCAAAGCCAUAGUUAGCAAAUCUCCAUUUAGAAUAUAUUUUUUUAAUAAAAAAGAUCUUUAAUUUUUUUCAUAUCUAUUAAGAUCUCUGAGUUUUUCAAAAGAUCUUCAAAAAAUCAAAGUUUUUAAUGGAACUGAUAUAAUUUCGUUUUUUUUUUCAAGAAAACUUUAACCCUAUAAAUUGAUUUCUUCAUUAACUUAAUAUUAUUAAAUUUUAUGUGUAAAGACAAGCACACGGGAGUAAAUUAAGAAUCUUGAUUUGACAAAAAAUUCUAUCAAAAACUUCACCAGUAUGUUCCCCUAGAAAAAGUAUAUGAAAAAUACAAGCAAUAUAUUCUUCGAACACUAAGAUAACAAAAUGAUAGUAUGUCUCACAAUAAUAGGAAGAAUUAGAAGAAGAGUAACUCAAUGAAAAAAAAAAAAUUUCCUUAAAACCUUGAAUGUCCUUAUAGAGAGCAAGAGAGAUAUUCAAUGAUACUGAAGGUUUAAGCAACUAGGAAUUCAAUGUGGGAUUUGAAUUUGUUUAAGCAUUUUGUUGCUUUUUUUAUGCAUAGAGCAGUUUGAUUAAUUUCAUGUUUUUAUUUUUAUUUUUUAUUUCAUUGGUGUAUAUAAUAUAACAUUUUGAAUGGACUACUAUUUUACGCAUUCGGAUGUUUGUGUUUUAUUUUAUAGAGCAAGCAUUGCUAUUGGAUUUAUUGAGAGUUUCGACAAAAACAUAUUCAACAUUAUUCUAAUGACACUAGGCAAAGCCAUAAAAUUACCCUUCAAUGGCUUUAACAUAUAUAUACAAUAAUUGCAAACCAUUAUCCUAUAAUCCUAUAUUAUGUCAUCUUUACGUAUCUGACUUUUUCACUCUGUUUUUUAGCCAAAUUUGAAAUAUUCACCAUUCUAUAACUUACUUUAUUUGUGGGCGAUCCGUAUUUUUUACCCGAUUUUUUCCUUCGACUUUUUAAAAAUAAAUCCGAUUUACUAUCGAUGUUUUGGUUUACCAAUAUAUUAUUAUUCCCGACUUGCUAAUCAUGCUCAAAACGUUGCACAAUUCAAUGCAAUUGCGCUUACGACUUUGAAAUACAACACAAUUGUGGUUACAAUGAACAAAACACUUCUUAUACACUAAAAAAUAAGAGGAUACAACUCAAUUAGGGUCCGUUGUCAAAUACAAAAUCAAAUUGCACAUGGAGGUAAAUGAACUAGACAAGUAUGAGGUGCUUAUGAAAUUCUACUUCAUUCAAUUUUAUAAUGCAAAAUGAAACAUCAAAUGAUUUUAAAGAACUCGAGAAAAUAUAACCGGCAACAUUGCAAUACACAUAUGCAAAGUGAAUUUUAUAAUGCAAAAUGAAACAUCAAAUGAUUUUAAAGAACUCAAGAAAAUAUAACCGGCAACAUUGCAAUACACAUAUGCAAAGUGAAGGAAGCAACAUGUCUAUGGGAAGCCAAUCAGACCACUUGGGGCCCAGUUCAGGGCCUUAAGUUUUAAUACGUGGUUUAAAAACCGGAUCAGUGCUCCGGAUCGAGCACUCCAAAAACCCAUCCGGAUCGGUGAAUCGACGAUCCAGAUCGAGAAUCGGCUGAAUCGGGCAGAGUAGGCUUUAAAAAAAAUCUAAAAAAAUUAUUAAAAUUCAUUAUAAAUUUUAUCUUAUAGGAAUCCAAUAAGAAAUGAGGGUACUACAUUAUUAACUUUCUUUUUUUUCAUCAAUUUGUGAAUAUUGAAAUGUUCUUUCCCUGUAUAAACUUAUGUUAACCAUUAAAUUUAUUUCACAUAAAAGAAAAAUCAUAGAAUUAUCAUGGAUAAAAUAUAUAAUUAUACAUGGACUACAAUAAAGAGUAGACUAAAUCGAUGAAAAAAUGGCCACUAAAAUCUCGAAUUGACGGAAAACCCUAAUCCGCUAAAAAAACCCAAAUUAUUACAACUUAACUAACUAUAAUCCAAAAUUAUUACAACCUAACUAACUAUAAUAUUAUAUACUGAAAUUAAAAUUGUUGGUUUACAUUUUAUAAUUAUUUUAUUAUAUAAAUAAUAACAAAUCCAAAAUAUUUUAUAAUAUUAUCUAAUUUAAAAUGUAUUAUUGACAACUAUUAAAAAAUAGUACAUUACAUGAUUUAUAAUGUAAAAAUUAAUAAAUAAAAUAAAAGAUUUGGUUAUCAAUGUAGAAAUUAUUAAAAUACAUACCAAUUUUCGAAAUAAAACUUUAAUUUUUGAAAAAUUUAAUUUUUUAGGUUUCUAGAAUAAAUUUAGUGAAAGAGAUUGUUAGUAGAGAGAGAUUUCAAAUAGAAUAAACUUUUUUAUUUUCAUUUUUUUACGCCUUUUAUUUUAUUUACAACAAAAAUAAUUUAUAGCGCUAUAUUUUAUUUACAAUGCCCAAGCAAGGGGAUUCAAUCUUGUGACAUCAAGGAAGAAAUUGAAAGUAAUAACCAUCAACACCACCUCACCGCAUGUAACAUUAUGCCUCCUAUUAAUAUACAUAUUCACUUUUUGUCUUCAUUUAAUGAUGUUUGUGGGAAUUAUCCCACAUCCAAGGAUAUGUAUCAAACUUCUCUCUAUAACUAACUAUUUAAUAGCUAUUAAGGUACAUGUGUGAAACCACUGAGGUAGCCCAACGUGUGGGAGGUGCUGGCGGGGUGACGUUGUGCCACGUGUAGAACCGGAAAUUGAUGAUGUUAGAACUGCUGAUUUAUGAUGUCAUCGGGGUGUCGAUUCCCGAGGAAAACCAAGGCGAGUUCGGUUCAACUACUUUUCAAACACUGGUUUUAACUAUAUGCUUUCAUUGUAUCAAAAGUGGGAAACUACACAUCUAUUGAUAUACACUUGAAACAAGGAAGGGUUCAUAGAGAUCUUAACUAUAUGCUGUAGAGUGACAUGCAAUAACAAUUCGGCCAAAUUCAUCACAUCAAAAGUGGGAAACCACACAUGACAUGCAAUAACAAUUCGGCCAAAUUCAUCAUAUCAAAAGUGGGAAACCACACAUCUACUGAUAUACACUUGAAACAAGGAAGGGUUUAUAGAGAUCAAAUGAUCAAAACUCAGGUGGAGCUCAUGGGAUAAAGGUUGUGACACAAAAAUCCCAAACUGAAAUCCAUAUUUAGUGGAUUUCAAGACCAGCCAAUUCAUGUAUGGAAUAACUUGAAAUCCAUACAUCGGAUCAUCACAAAGUCAGGUCCGAUGCGACCGUAUCAUGAAGGGCUACAAGGUGGUACAACUUUUGUACUCAAUCUAAGUUCGGAUAGCACAAAUUUCAAGGUUGAAGAUAGCAAGAUUUCCCAUUCACUAGAAUCCCUUUUCCUAACGACCUCCCUAAUUCAAAAAUAAUUAAGCAAGAACCAAAUCGGACAAAUGCAAAGCAAUUGUGACAGUCUCCUUUUUAAUUUGAAAUCAAAAUGAAGACUCGGAACACCAUGGAUCACAUUGUAUUGAUGACCAAAGUUCACAACCUAGCCGGAUUUUUACGCAUUGGGAAAAGUCUGUCUCAAGAUGAUUAAAAGACAUCAAACUCUUCAGAAUCAAGCAAGCAUCAAGACUACGAGGAUGGAUCGUCUGAACGACCUCCACAAGCACUCAAAAAAUCUCCCAAGAUCUGGCAAUGGUGAAAGGCCCCUCAGAGAAGGAUGCUUUCGUCAUUAGCACAAAAGGUUUAAAGGGUAUUUUGGUCAUUUUUCUAAAAUCGGGAUUUUAUUGUAAUUUCUUUUAAUCAUAAUUUGGCUUAGUUUUGGGCAUCCACCCCUGUUUGGUGGGUCCUCUAUAUAAAUAAGCAUAGGUUAAUUAUAAAAAGGCUAGAUCAUUUAUUAACGAAAUCGAGGCGUUAAAUUUGCGUCCACUUGUUUUUUGCUUCUAACCCAUGGAUCCAGCUGUGAGGAGAGAGAAAAUUUCAGAGAGAGAACUACCACUGACCCUUCCUGAUCACGUGGCCCCGUUCUCUCUCUCUUAGGCUAGGGCACGCCUCCAGCCCACUUUCUAUCCUCUUUCUUCUUCUCUCUCUACGCGUUGCUUGCUUCGUAUAGUAACCUAGUGCCUCAACAAAUGUGCGGUCCUGUCUCUUCCCCCUUCUUUCUCUCAUUCUUGUCGCAUUGUGGGUCGGAGCCGUAGAACCUGCAGACCCGUCUCUCUUUGCGAUCUUCCCCUUUGUGCUUCUAGCUUAAACGUAACAAAUUGUGGCUCUGUAUAGCAUCCCGUUAUCUGUCAUACGCUCAAAUCAAUACCCUUCAGAGUCAUCCCAAGAGUUCCAACCCUCGGAUCAUUGCUCUAAUUUCCUCUCCGUACAGUUGAGUUGAGCCACGAGAAAUAUAUACAUUAUCUUCCUCACUCACUCGGGUGGAGUCUUCCUGAGUCGACAGUCAAUAGGGUUCUAACUCUUUAGUUGCUCUGAUCGCCUGAGAGCAUAGCGUUUGCACCGAUAGGGGGUUCUUGUCACUAUUUCUCUCACCGUUCUUUCUUUUGCUAGCCAACCCUUGUUUGAGUAAAUCGUUAUAGAGGAAUAUCAUCGAAUUCACAUUGUAGUUUCCAGCAUAAGAGAACAAGGCGAUGCGUUAAAGCUUGAGGAGAGUCCGUGUCCAAACCGUGUUGGCAGACAACAGGAGGGCUUUGUAAUUGUUAUAAGAGGGCGAACUCCCCGAGCGUAUCUCUGAACCCCCAAACGACGAGGUAAGCGCCUAAACACACCACUGUCGUAAAAUCUUUCUCAUUGUUGGUUCCUAUCCGGACAAAGGAGAGCACAAGUAUCCAUACCAUUUUUUUGUUUAUUUCUUUCCUUUUGAGUUUUCAUUCUUACUUUUGUUCUUUUCCUUUUUAUUUUUAUUUUUAUUUUUUUUCUUCUCUUUUUCUCUUGUUUUACUGUUACUAUUUGAAAAAAAAAAAAGGAAAAAAAGAAAAAAAGAAAGAAAGAGAGUCAUGGGUAAGCCUGUAAUCACUCCUAGCUCGUAGGUUGGAUCUAAGAUGUGGUUUGGCCUUAUCCAUUGAGGUAAAGCUUAUCGUUAUCAACCUAAUCAGUUAGCCUCUCCAAGGCGAUUUUUAAUUCUCAGGUUUUAAAUCAACCUAAUUUGGCAUUUUUUUUUAUAGAAAAGAAAUACUCAUUUUGCUAUAAAAAAAAGAAAAAUGAGGAACACCCUUCAAGGCCAUCUCUUUUAUUUUUCACCAAAAAAAAAAAAAUAGAAAAAAAAAGAAAAGAAAAAUCGAAUAAAAAUAUCACACUUUCCUUAGGAAAAAGAAAAAAAAAAAAAAAAAAAAUCAUUUCUUCUCUUGUCGUUUACCACAUCCAUAAGAAUUAAGAAAAUAAAAACCUCUUUUUUCAAGCCACUUGUUUUUCAAAUAAAAAAAAAAAAAACUUUUAAAGCCUNNNNNNNNNNNNNNNNNNNNNNNNNNNNNNNNNNNNNNNNNNNNNNNNNNNNNNNNNNNNNNNNNNNNNNNNNNNNNNNNNNNNNNNNNNNNNNNNNNNNNNNNNNNNNNNNNNNNNNNNNNNNNNNNNNNNNNNNNNNNNNNNNNNNNNNNNNNNNNNNNNNNNNNNNNNNNNNNNNNNNNNNNNNNNNNNNNNNNNNNNNNNNNNNNNNNNNNNNNNNNNNNNNNNNNNNNNNNNNNNNNNNNNNNNNNNNNNNNNNNNNNNNNNNNNNNNNNNNNNNNNNNNNNNNNNNNNNNNNNNNNNNNNNNNNNNNNNNNNNNNNNNNNNNNNNNNNNNNNNNNNNNNNNNNNNNNNNNNNNNNNNNNNNNNNNNNNNNNNNNNNNNNNNNNNNNNNNNNNNNNNNNNNNNNNNNNNNNNNNNNNNNNNNNNNNNNNNNNNNNNNNNNNNNNNNNNNNNNNNNNNNNNNNNNNNNNNNNNNNNNNNNNNNNNNNNNNNNNNNNNNNNNNNNNNNNNNNNNNNNNNNNNNNNNNNNNNNNNNNNNNNNNNNNNNNNNNNNNNNNNNNNNNNNNNNNNNNNNNNNNNNNNNNNNNNNNNNNNNNNNNNNNNNNNNNNNNNNNNNNNNNNNNNNNNNNNNNNNNNNNNNNNNNNNNNNNNNNNNNNNNNNNNNNNNNNNNNNNNNNNNNNNNNNNNNNNNNNNNNNNNNNNNNNNNNNNNNNNNNNNNNNNNNNNNNNNNNNNNNNNNNNNNNNNNNNNNNNNNNNNNNNNAACUUUAAAGCUUAUUUGGUUUCAGGAAAAAAAAAAAAAAUCACUUUUGUUUAAGCACUUCAUUUCCCCAAAAAAAAAAAACGAAAACAAAGAAGUGGAGAUGGAUGACUUAUUGAUGUCGAUAUCCUCUUUUGAUCUCUUUCCUUUUCUCUCUCUCUUUUGUAUAUGUGAAGCAUCUUUGAUACUUUAAUGACAUAGAUGUACUCUUAGUUAAAAAAAAAAAAAAAAAAGAAAAAAAAAAGAGGUUUUCCCAUCAUAAAAUUAGGGCGAACUUGGAAAAAAAAAUAAAAAACAAAUAUUUUAUGUAAAAAUAGAUGACCAAAAUGCCCCUAUAACUUUUAGGGGUAUUCUGGUAAUUGUUCAUCACUGGAAAUAUUUUUUUAAUAUUUUUAUCAUGUGCACCCUUGUUAGAUCUAUGGAUGCCCCAAAUUUUUGCCUCAAAAUUAUUUGUAAAAUAAAAAUAAAAGAUAAAAUACUAUGAGUCGUCAGAUCAAGAUGUGAUGGUUAACUGUUGCAAAGCAUUGUUCAUACUAUUUGGAGCUGGCUUUCCAUCACAAAGGAGGGUUUUGGUGUGGCUGAAACUGAUAUUGAAAUGAACCUCUCCAAUCUGUUACUCCAUAAAUUUGUUGAAAAUCGAUCAAGAAGUGUGUGGUGUCCACCUAUAUAUGGUUUACUCAAGCCGAACUUUGAUGAAAGCUCACAUGGAAACCCUGGUGCAGCUGGGAAUGGGUGUUUUAUAAAAAAUUCUUAUAGGGAUGUGGUUUUAUGCUAAGGGGAAUCUUGUAGGAUUGCAACUGUAAAUACUGUGGAGUUAGGGGCUGUUCUUCAAAGUAUGUGUAUAUUGUUUCUCCGCUUUAAUGAAAUAGAUGUACUCUUGUGAAAAAAAAACUCUUAUGUAUAUGUGUAACAUCUUUGAUACUUUAAUGAAACAGACACAAUCUUAAUAAAAAAAAAAAAAAUUGGUCCUCCCAUCAAAAAAUUAGGGCGAAGUUGGAAAAAAUAAAAAACAAAUAUUUUAUGUAAAAAUAGAUGACCAAAAUGCCCCUAUAAUUUUCAGGGGUAUUCUGGUAGUUGUUCAUCACUGGAAAUAUUUUUAUCUUGUGCCCACUUGUUAUAUCUAUGCAUGUCCCAAAAUUUUGCUUCAAAAUUAUUUGUAAAAUAAAAAUAAAAACUAAAAUACUAUGAGUCGUCUGAUCAAGAUGUAACGGUUAAGUGUUGACUUGUGACAUUGUGACUCAAGCCAUCUCCGCCAUUUACUCCACAUAUACCAUACAUGUGGGUGAAUCACCUAGAAGGCCCUCCGUUAGUUAAAUGGGUGGGUAUUAUAUGAGUCACCCACCUUAAACAACUGAAGUAAGAUGCACCUUGCUGGUAGAUGCAGUUCCGUUGCCGGAAACUCUUUUGAUGGCCUGAAAUUUGUUUCCAUUUCUAAUUAUGAAAUUUUAAGGUUUGAAAAUAUUUCAGGUUGAGCAAUUCUAUAAAAAUUUAAAAUCUUGAAAAUGGGUAGUUCAUAUACUGGGUUAUAAGAUGCAUUAAUUUGAAGACUUGAAAUUUUUUACUUUUUAAUAUGCAAAUGUUGAGAUGAUCAAUAUGAGGGUUUUUUAGCAUUGGAACAACCUUUUAUAAUGUAUUUUUGAGGUGCUCCUCCCUUCUAUGGUUAGGUUGACGCCUUACAUAAGCUUUUUCCUAGUUAAAUACCAAAAUAUUUAAAUGCAAAUAUACAUAUCGCACCACUAGCAAUGAAAUAUGCUUAGACCAAAAGAAGAAACCAGUUAGUGAGCUUCUUAAGCUUUUUGGGGUCCCAAUUUCAAGGGCGCCACUUACAAACUGGGGUGUCUAUUGUUAGAUCAAAUCAUAAGGUAUGCGAUGGUAGUAUGAUAUUAGUAUUCAUGUUACAAUCUUGUAUUAUUGUGUAAUACAAGAAUACAAUAUUAUUUCUAUUAAUAUUAUUUCAAAUAUUCAUUACUGAAAUAGUAAUCAAUUAAUUUUUACUUAAGAAUAUAUGAACAAUAAACAAUGAUCUUAGGGUGGAAUUGAAGAAGUAUGUAUUUCAUAAUAAAUAGUCUAUAUACAUUAAUAUAUAUUUAUUUCACUUUUAGAAAUAUUUUAUUUUCAUUUUCAUAUUGUUUAGUAAUAUGCAUUUAAUACACUUAUUUCCUAAAUUUUUCAAAGUACACAUGAUAUAUACAUUUUCCUAAAGCAUGCGCCUCUUAAAAAUCUAAUUUUAAGAUAGAUUUUUUGCACUUAAUUUUUGAGGACAUGCAAUCUCUAACAUGGAGAAAUUUUUUUUUUUUCUUGAAAAUCAAAUAUUUGGUCUUUAUCUAAAUCUCUUUCUUGAAAAUCAAAUAUUUCGUCCAACAGCCCAACGGUCUCUCCCGCUCUUUCUUGAAAAUCAAAUAUUUGGUCUGAAAACCCAACGACCAUUUCUUUCUCUCUGUGGAAUCUCAGAUAGCGAGAGGAGUCUUCGGUGGGUCCUUUCAUCUGUUGCAAGUACAGGAGCAUUCAACCUCUUCCGACCAGGUAUUCUCUCUCUAUCUCUGUGUAUUUUCUCUCUCUAACAUCUUUGAUCUCUUUCUUUCAUUUUCUCCCUCUUUCCACAAAAUCUUGUUCAAGCAGUCUCGAUCGACUGGACAUACUGCGAUAUUCUCUUUCGCUCUCCUGAUUCAAACAUUGAUUUACUACUGCUAUGUCAACUGCGAAGAGUAAAUAAUGACGUUGCAUGUGUGUGUUAAUCCGUUGAGAAUUAGAGGUUCUAGUGUUUUGCAGGAAACCCUAAACUUUGAUAUUCGUUCGGGGAUGGGGAUAGGGAUGAUAUGAUAAACUCCCUAAAAUUUGUAGAAUUUAGGCUUCUCUUUACUCAAAGAUUUUAAAUUUGAUAUUCGGGGAUGGGGAUGAUUUGCUAGAAUCCCUAAAAUUUAAUUUCUUUCUGAUAUUUGCAGGAUUCAGGAUUCUGUAUAAUGGCAGCAGAUCAAAACCCAAUGCCAGAAGAUUUUGGUCGAAAGAUUGCAGACUUGCAACCUUUACUGGUUUAGAACAUCAGUGGUAGUCCUAGGAUUGCUUUGUACCCAGAGAGAAAACAACGAGGGUUUGAAGGCCACCAUCACAUGACCUAUAUUGAGUCUAAGAUGACACGGCCCGGUUUCUUCUUCAGCCAUUGAGAUGCCUGGCUGUGUUAACACUUUUUCAGGCAUUGGUAAUGAACCAUUAACUGAUAAGUGCCCUUAUGAUGUGGUGCAGAGUAUGCCCUUUACACAUAAGAGUAAUAAUUCUGAUGGCCAAUCUGAUAAUGUUUCUCACCCCCAGUUUGACUUUUAUCAGCGCCAACAACAAACCUCAGAGCCCUCAACUUCCCAAAAUUCUCAUUGUCUUGAAUCUACUGAUGAUUUUUCCACCAAAAAAAAGAAGUUCUAGUGUAGUUUUUGGGGCAAAUUCGUUCCUAGGCCAAGUGAUGGGGUGCCAAGAUAUGUAGGGGGUCAUACACAGAUCAUCAAUUUGUGGAGGGGUAUUUGAUUUCAAGAGCUUCAGAAGAUGGUAGACGUGUAUGGGCAACGUAUGGUCAAUACGUACAGCUCCCUAAUGAGGAUCUCGAUACUUUGAUUUCAGUUACGUGCAAUGAAGAUUUGGAAAUUAUGAUUGAAGAGUAUGACAUGCUUUUGAAAACCUCACCAGUGCGAUCGUGGAAGCUUCAUGUCUUCUUGUUUUCAGCCUCAGAGCCUGACUCCUAUGGUGUUGUUCAGUUUGCGAAUCAUCAGGAUUCAGGGCAGCAAUAUGUUGAGGGGGUGAAUGGGAUCCCUUAGAGCACCAAUCAGAGAAAGGAGAGAACAUCAAGGGGUACUUCAACUCUAAAUUCUGAUUGUCAGUUUAAUGGUGUUGCUUCUCAUAAAUUAGUUCCUAAUCAAGGUGAUGCGGGCAGCAAUCUACUACCUAGCAAGAUUCCAAGUAACGAUGCUAGAUUGGCUAAUGAUGCUCUGAGGUUGGCUAAUGAUGCUCCAAGUGUGGUUAAUGAUGCUCCAAGAUCGGCUAAUGAUGCUCCAAGGUUUGCUAAUGGUGAUCCUAAUGGUGAUCCAAGGUUUGCUAAUGAUGCUCCAAGGUUUGCUAAUGGUGAUCCGAGGUUGGCCUAUAUGUUUCCUAAUCAGUUGAUUUUUGGGGAAGAUGCUGCAUCUUCAAGUGCCGCUUCUGUUAAUACCAGUGGUCCUUCUGAACCUAUACCCAUGUGCACUAUGCUUCGACCUGGGCAAACCCACUCUGUGGAUCCAGCAGUUAGGACAGAAGAGUACCAUUUACAUGCUAAACUACACAAUCUCUCUGUUAUGCCAAACCUACCUGUUUAUGGGUUGUUGAAAAGUCCUUCUGAGAGGCCCAAUAUUGCUUCAACCCUGGUCGAUUGCAGGCCAGAAGGGCAGCAGAUGCCACAAAUCGAAGCACAUGCUUCUUUAGUAGAUGUUCGUCCACCUCUGACAUAUGUGCAUAGUUAUGUGGGUGCUCAUCCAAGUGCCUAUAACUUGAGCAGCUACAGUCCUUACAAUAAUUCAGACAUAAGAAUCUCUCCUGAAUCAAUCCAUGCUUCUCAGAGUUCUUCUCUCAGUGCACAACAAUCAAUAGUGCAUGUGGCUUCAGCAAUUGGUGUUGGUGGUGUCUCCUAUCCAUUUGCACUGGCAGGUUCUUCAGGAUAUCCUAUAGGUGUACCUCCUCCUUCACAGAAUUUGUGUGCUGGUCCUUCUUCGCCAAGAGUUAAUGGCAUAAUUGGAGGUCAACCGUUCAUACCGACACCUCAAAGAGCCAUUGAGCGUUACAUGGAAGAGAGCAGUGCAGGAGCAAGGAUUCAACUUCAUGGUGACCAGAGUUAUAAGGCAUUCCAAGUUCCCCAAAUUACCCUGCCUCCUCCUGUUCAGGUUAGUCAGCCCACCAUGGAGAGGCUCACUAGCCAGCCAUCAGCACCUGAAUGUGUAGUUUUCUCUGAAGUAUGGGUAGCUCAGCAAAUGGGAAAUUCGGGCGAUAAGGUGUCUAAGCUUGAGGACUGUUGCAUGUGCCAAAAGGCACUGUCUCAUGCUCAUUCUGAUACAUUGAUUUAAGAGCAUGUGAAUUCUGUUCCAGAGACAAAUUCCGCUCUUCAAAGUCAUCAUUCCGAUGGAAGUAUAAGAUUCAUGGCCUCACCGAAAGUUACUGGAGCAUUGGGGGAGGCUUCUGUGUCUCCCCAAGAUGAGCAUUGGUUAGGUAUGGAACGUGGGGCAGUGGCUAGGUUUCAGGGAAACAGAAGAAGUUAUGCGAAACUGAAUGGGCAGAAUGGACAUGAAACUGCUGCAUCUUCACUGAGACCUCCAUGAAUUCCUCAUGUUCCAGAGCAGCAUCUUAAUUGUGAUCAAGUUCCUCAGCAGCAAACAGAAAAACCUGAUCACACCAAGUUGUUGUUUACUCAGAACAUGCCAGUUAAAUCUACUGAGGAACUUCAAAAACCUAGACCUUUCGGCUUUACUUAUGUUGACAAAUCUACUGAGGAACUUCAAAAAACUGAACCUUUGGGCUUCACUCAUGUUGACAAUGCAGGGAACAAGUAUGGAGCAGAUGAUGUGAAACCCCUGUAUGAUCCAUUCUCAAGCAACCACUCAUUCUUCCAUCAAGAAAAUGCAUUUGUGAUGCCCCAUAGCCAGGUUAAGCAAGAGGUGGCAAGGGACAGGAUGGUCGGUAUUGACAUCCCUCUAGAUAUUAGCUUGCCUUCCUCUAGUGCAGAGCCUUGCGAUCUUUACUCUUCACAUGAUUUCGCAACAAAAUAUGUUUAUCUGAAUCCAUUGUCAUCUGACAAUUAUAGAACACUGGAUGGGAGGUUGAGUGCUUUAUCUAUGAGUUCACCGGGGUUGUCUUCAGGGAUUGAUCAGAGCAAACUACCAUUUUGGCUGAACUCGGAUCAUUGUGUGAGAGCAAUCAGCUAAGUGACAGGAUGCAAACAAGUGAUACCUCGGUAGCGGCUAACGUGAAUGCUGUCAAAGAAGAAAGGCUGAAUGUGCAGCCACAGGUUACUUUGGAUUCUAUUCGAGUGGCUGAUCCCUUUAGUGAGCCAGGGAUUGUUACGAGUGCGGGUUAUGUCAAUCCAGUUCAACCAUUGAUACAUAAUGCUCAGCCUGCAGAUCCUACUUCAAGAUCGGUUAAUGAUGCUCCAAGAUCGGCUAAUGAUGCUCCAAAUUUCACUAAUGGUGAUCCUAAGUUGGCUAAUGGCUUUUCGAGGUUGGCCUAUAUGUGUCCUAAUCAGUUGAUUUUUGGGGAAGAUGUUGCAUCUUUAUGUGCUGCUACUGUCAACACCAGUGGUCCUUCUAAACCUAUACCCAUGUCUACUAUGCUUCUGCCUGCGCAAACCCAUUCUGUGAAUCCAUCAGUUAGGCCACAACGGGGCAAUUUAGACGCUAAACUUAAGUCUCUCCGUUAUACCAAAUCUACCUGUUUAUGGGUUGCCAAGAACUCCAUCUGAGAGGCCCAAUAUUGCUUCAACCCUGGUCAAUUGCAGGUCAGAAGGGCGGCAGAUGCCACAAAUCAAAGCACCUGCCCCUUUAGUAGAUGUUCAUCCACCUCCCACAUGUGUGCGUAGUUAUGUGGGUGCUCAUCCAAAUGCCUUUAACUUGAGCAGCAACAGUUGCUACACUAAGUCAGACAAAAGAACAUCUCCUGAAUCGAUGCAUGCUUCUUAGAGUUCUUGUCUCAGUGCACAACAGCCAGUGGUCACGCAGCUUCUUCAGGAUAUCCUAUGGGUGUACCUCCUUCGCAGAAUCUGCAUGCUGGUCCUUCGCCAAGAGUUAAUGGCAAAAUUGGAGGUCAGCAGUUGACAUCAACGCCCCAAGUACCCCCUGAGCGUUACGUGGACGAGAGUAAUGCGGGAGCAAGAGUUGAAUUUCAUGGCGACCCGAGUUAGAUGGCAUUCCAAAUUCCCCAAAUUACGCAGCCUCCUCCAGUUCAGGUUGAAGGUCAGCCCACCAUGGAGAGGCUCUCUUGCCCGCCAUCGAUACCUGAAUCUGUAGUUUUCUCUAAAGGACGGGUAGCUCAGCAAAUCGGGAAUUCAGGGGAUAAGGUGUCUAAGCUUGGAGACAAGCAUGUUGCAAAAGGUGCUCACAGAAUGUGACAUGCCUUCUCUCUCAUCAUGGGCUGUUUACAAGCCUUCUACAAGAUGUUAAGUGCUUAGACAUGGGAUAAUUUAUUUCAAAAGGGAAAGAUGUUAUAAUUGAUUGAAUUCAAUGAAAGUUUUUCUAUUUUCAUUUAAUAAAAUAUUUAAUAAUAAUAAAGUUAUGGAAAUUGAGAGAUAAGUGAUCUAGUUAAUUUAUUUUAGCUUCCAAUAUAUUUUUUCUUAUUUAUUUUGAAGCGUUAGGUUCUUGCAUGCUAAUGACUGGUAAAUGUAUUGAAGAAAUCGAAAAUUUUGAACCAAUGGAUUUUUAAUCAUACGCAUGCUGCAAUUUUCAGGAAUUCUUAUCCUACUCGAUAUGCUUGGAUGGUCCCUGAUGUAUGUUUUCAUUGCAAUGUAUGUUCUUAUCCUCAAAAGAGUAAAUCAAUCACCUUUUUACAAAGUGCAAAAACUUGCGUGGACUGGCACUCCUGCCGGAGUCAGGUUACUAGGGUGAGUCCAUGCCCACUCGGACUCGGGUACUGGAGUCAAGUUACUAGGGCGAGUCCAUGCCCACUCGGACUCGUGUGAGUCUUGUCUAUUUACUAUACAAGUGCAUUUAGUCCAAGACAUAGUUGAACUCACCUUGGUCAACAUGUUGGGGCCAAGCCCGAAUUGACCUGGUUGAGUUUUAGUUCGAGUUGCCAAGUCGUUAUUUAGAAUGCUGUUUUUUCUUUUUAGAGGAUCAAAACAUAUACUUUUUUGUUCAAUGGAAAGGGCAUGACAUGGUUGUUGGUGGUAUAAGAUUAAUGGGCUAGAAAUACAAUCUUUUAAAAAAUUUCCAUUAUAUAAAAACUCAAAAGUUUAAAUGCAUGAAUAUCUCAAUACAAAACCAUAAUACAUAUAUUCCAGCCUACAAAAUCCCUUACUUAAAAAUUUAAUUAAACUGAAUACAAUAUUCAACUAUUCACAUUGUACAUCUUUACAAUAUAUUGCAUGCUCAUUAUAUCAAAAUUGUAUGAUAAUUUCAUCUUCAUUCUUCAUCCUCAUCAUAUAUCAUAAUAUCUCAUACAUAUCAUACACUUGAUCAUAAUAAUUCAAUAAGAUUUCAAUUCGCAUAAACAAUAAUGCAUAGCAUUGAAGCUCAUACUGCAAGAUUAAAAAACAUUCUCACACAACAUACUUAAUUUAACCAAUCAUGAAUCCAUUUAAUAACUGUAAAUACAUCAAAUUAACAUGCAAAACAUACAUAGGGAAACCAUGGUUCGAAUCCUUUGUGCCUGGGCCACGAAAGGGCCUUUUGAGGACUUAAUUUUGUCCCAUUGUCUAAGGCACGAAUGAUAAUAGUAACUCAAGGAGAUCAUUCCAAUGGGAAGCAAAUGAUCAUAUUUAUUUCACUUAAUGGGGAUCAAAUCAUGAUAGAGACAUGUAUCAAAAAAGCCCUUCAGAGUUUGAGAGAGAUACCACACAAAAUAAGGAAGUUAAGGUGAAACUACACCAUGUGGUCUAUAAGGGACCACACGAACUUUUCAACAUUAAAAAGGGAACUCAAUGGACUAUUUCUUAUGUCCAAAUAUGAUGAAAUAAACCUCUCAUAAGUUGUAUAUUCUCAGUAAAAAUUUCAGAAAAAUAAGAUCAAGAAAUCAAGUUGAAACUACUCAAGAUCAUGGAGUAAGCAAGCUAGUCUACACAUAUUAUGUAUAUGGACUACACUAUUGCUUUGUAACUCCUCAAAUAUCAAGUUUUCAUGGCCAAUAAUGAAGAAAGCUACUGUAAAUUAAGAAUUACAACAAGCUUUGAUAAUGGAAAUGAGGUAGAAAUUAAAAAUAUGAGAAGAAAAAUCAUUACUUUAAUGGAGUGAUAGUAUGGGCUUGAUCACAUAAAUGAUGGACUACUCCAUAGAAGAAGGGUUUCAAAUGAAAACUCAAGAAAGAAAAUAGUCUUAUAGGUGACCAUAUUUUUGUCAAGGGUCCUCUCUCUCUUUGAAGUGAAUACUUAAGUUGGGGUUAUAAUUGAUUCCAUAAGCUACUUUUAUACUUAGAUCAUAAAGAUGGAUUUGAUCUCGAUCCUUAAUGCCUUAGAUCAAUGGCACUUGAGAGGCUUUUAUCCAAGCCACUCAUCCGUAUCUUAUCAUCGAGAUCAAUGGAUGAGCUUUUGACACCUUUCACUCCUUAAAACCUAGGUUUAUAGUUAUUUUACCUUGAAGCCAUUAGCUCCAUGUUUUAUUUUCCAUUAAGUCCAAAUUCAUGUUUACACUUAUGCCCAUGGUUUUUAAAUAAUUUGUGAGAGUCAAUAAAAUACAAGGAUAUAGACAUAAAGGUAAUAUGGGACACCUACACAUGUGAAUAAAAUAUUUUAUGACACCACCAAUAGUUUUUUAACAAAUACUAAAGUUUCAUAUAGGUCAAGCCCAUAAGGUGGUGCCACAUAAGACAUACUAACAUACUACAAAAUCAUAUGUGGACAAUAAUAUGAAUUAAAUUAAUUCUCAAAAUUUCAUGACUUCACACAUGUCAAAAAUGGCACAUAUGAGUAAAAAAAAAACAUGUAACUUAAAUCAAACUUAAGUCAUAACAAUAUAUAACACUUUAAAUAACAAGAUAACAUGUAAUAACAUACUACCAACAAAAGAAUUAAUGACAAAUAGGUCGCCACAUAGAUAUGACAUCAACAUGAUGUCAUCUACAAGUGGGGAGGUGGGGGUGCCAUGUGGCAUCCUUAUGGCCACUUGGGAUCCAUGUGGCAUCCCCAUAGAAUGUCAUUGUUUAGUAUUUACGUUAAAAAAAUUCGAAAAUCAUAUUUUUUAUUGUUUAAAAACUAUGAAAAAUUCUCCAAGAAUCUCAAAAAUUCUCUAAAUGAUUUCUCAGCAUUAUUACACAAUUUUUCAUCAAUAUAAACCUUUUCUUGUCAAUUUUAGAUUAAUUUCGGCCAAAGGUAAAUGAGAUCUUUAGACUUAUAACGCUAGUCGGCGUCUUCCAUUGGGCUAACCUGAAUGACGUUCCACUGGUGUCUCAAGUCGACACAAUGGACCUAUGCUCCAUAGUCUAUGGCAUGGACACAUAUUUGGUCACAUCAAAGUCGUUGAGCUAGAGCUUCCCGUCACCGGGGUACAAUGGAUUACUGGUGCAUCCCUGUAGGAUAUGUUCCUACUCAAAUACAGGGGUCAUCUCAAAGCACAUGUGCACUAGCUCUUCUAAGUCAAAUAAUACUAUAGAAGAGUGGCUUCCCCAUACGACUGUGGGUGCACUUACCAUGAAACUGUCUCGUGUCAGGAUACGGGCUCAUGUCCCAUGAGUGGACCAUUCCAUACAGGGCGAAUACUUUUUUAAAUACUCGGGUUCUAUUAUUCUCAAUUGGAUUCUCUAAACCCUGGAUUAUCACAUCAACUAUGAGGCAUUCUAAUCAAUAUAGUCAUGACUGGGAGGUGACCCUCACACCUCCUUGAGAGUUCUCACUCUCAAAACGUAUACUCUCAAUGCCUCAAAUAUUCGAGGUAUAUGAAUCUGGGCCCCAGUGUAUCAAGCACCCAGAUUCAGUCUCUCUCUAACUCCCACUGAGUGUAAGACUAUUGGCUUUAAGGCCUUGAAAGGCCACAUAGCCAACAAUGGUGACCCAUCUUUAGCUUUCAUCCCUCAUCGAAGUGUAAUCAAAAUGUUUGGUUAUUUGAUUCCUUUGCCGCUCCUUGAUUUCAUUGCUUUGACUGAGUAGAUUGGCAAUUUUCAGGCAUCUCCAAUCUUUGAUUGGAAUUGCAAUUAGAUUGGUGUUUGUAACUAGAUGGAAGGUCUUGAAAUGUGGGUUUUAUUUGUAAUAUCUAGGGUAAGAGUGGUCACUUGGUAUGACAGUAAAAAGCUCAGGUAGCCAGCGCAAGAGUGCGAGUUCGAGUCCUGAAAGUGGUCACUUUGUGCAUAAGCCAAAGGUUAGGACUGUUUCCAGCCCACCCCUGUUGAGACCCUGCUUAGGCGGGACCAACACCAGGUUACGACCCUUUUAUCUCUUCACCCUACAUGUCUCCAAUAUCAACGAUUUAAGAUUAAGUCUUCAUAAUGAUUGUAAAACUGAGAUCGUAAAAUUCUAGAUCCCAUAACCCUAGGUUUGCACUAUAAAUACUGAGGAUGUAUAACAACCAAAUUACAUAGACCUGCACUUAAACUAUGUUACAAAUACAUGACAAUACAACGCAAAACCAUAGUUAGCAAGCCUCUAUUUAGUACAAUUUUUUUUUAAAAAGACCUUUCGUUUUUUUUUUUUUUUUUAAAAUUCUAUUAAGAUCCUUGAGGUUUUCAAAAGAUCUUCAAAAAAUCAAAGUUUUUAAUGGAACUAAUAUAAAUCCGUACUUUAUUUUUUUCAAGAAAACUUUAUCCUUAUAAAUUGAUUUCUUCAUUAAAUUAAUAUUAUUAAAUUUGAUGUGUAAUGAUAAGCACACUAGAGUAAAUUAAGAAUCUUGAUUUAAUAAAAAAUUCUAUAAAAAAUAUCACCAAUACGUUCCCUUAAAAAAAAAAAGUGCAUGAAAAAUACAAGCAAUAUAUUCCUCGAAAACUAAGAUAACAAAAUGAUGGUAUGUCUCACAAUAAUAAGAAGAAUUAGAAGAAGAGUAACUCAAUGAAAAAUUUUUUUUCCCUUAAAACCUGGAAUAUCCUUAUAAAGAGCAAGAGAGAUAUUCAAUGAUACUGAAGGUUUAAGCAACUAAGAAUUCAGUGUGAGAUUUGAAUUUGUUUAAAUAUUUUGUUGUUUUCUUUAUGCAUAGAGAAAUUUGAUUUUGAUUAAUUUCAUGUUUUUAUUUUUAAUUUUUAUUUCAAUGGUGUAUAUAACAUAGCAUUUUGAAUGGAGUAAUAUUUUACCUAUUUGGAUGUUUGUGUUUUAUUUUACACAGCAAGCAUUGCUAUUGGAUUUAUUGAGAGUUUCGACAAAAAAAUAUCCAGCAUUAUUCUAAUGACACUAGGAAAGGCCAUAAAAUUAUAGUUCAAUAGCUUUAACGUGUGUAUACAAUAAUUGCAAACCAUAAUCCUAUAUUAUGUCAUUUUUACAUAUCCGACUUUUUCACUCUGGUUUUUUUGCCAAAUUUGAAAUAUUCACCAUUCUAUGGCUUACCUUAUUUGUGGGCGAUUCGUAUUUUUUAUCCAAUUUUUUCUUUUGACUUUUUAAAAUAAAUCUGAUUUAUUACCGAUAUUUUGGUUGCCAAUAUAUUAUUAUUCCCGACUUACUAACCAUGCUCCCAACGUUGCACAAUUCAAUACAAUUGAGCUUACUACUUUGAAAUACAACAAAAUUGUGAUUACAAUGAACAAAACACUUCUUUUACACUAAAAAAAUAAGACGAUACAACUCAAUUAAGGUCCCUUGUCAAACACAAAUUCAAAAUGCACAUGGAGAUCAACGAACUAGACAAGUAUGAGGUGCUUAUGAAAUUCUGCUCCAUGCAAUUUUAUAAUGCAAAAUGAAACAUCAAAUGAUUUUAAAGAACUCAAGAAAAUAUGAUCAGCAACAUUACAAUACACAUAUGCAAACGUGUCUAUGGGAAGCCAAUCAGACCACUUGGGGCCCGGUUCAUGGCCUUAAGUUUUAACUAUAUGCUGUAGAGUGACAUGCAAUGACAUAUUUCAAAAUUCAGCCAAAUUCAUCGCAUCAAUAGUGGGAAACCACACUUCUAUUGAUAUACGCUUGAAACAAGGAAAGGUUUGUAGAGAUCAAAUGAUCGAAACUCAAGUGGAGCUCGUGGGAUAAAAGAUGUGACAGAAUUACAAAACUGGUUUCAAGAGUUCACAAAGCGAGCCAUAAAAUUUCGGCAAAAUCUGCUCUCAUGAAAUCAACAAUUUGUUCCACCAAAUAUAUAUUCAAUUGGCUGGUCUUGAUGUGAAAAUCUCAUAAAAAUAUCAAUCAAUUAAUCUCCUAAAACGUUAUAGAAAAGCAUGUGGAAAUUAGAUCAAUUAAUGCAUGGAUGAUCCCUUCAAUUAUAUGGAUCAUAGUAGAUCAAGAAUUCAAGGUUCAAGAAUCAAAUAGAAGAGGGAACCAUGCUGUAAUUAGGAUUUUACAAGAAGAAGAAAAAACCAAAAUUAAUGAGAAAAGAUAAGAUCUUACUCAAUUGAUGAAGAUCUUGAAAACUAUAUUGUCCAUGUCUUUGGUUGCUUGUGAACUCAUCGUAAAUGGAGCCAUCAAUGGAGCUUUCUCUCACUUAAAAUUGAAAACUCAAUUUAAUCUAAUAGAAGAGUGAGAAAGUGAGAGGACAUAGCCUUUGGCAUACACUCCAGGGGAUGAGAGAGAGAGAGAGAGAGAGUGAACUCAAG